ACAAAAUCUGUGGUUGUUCACCAGAGUCAUUGAGGGUCAGUCCAGGAAAGACUGUUGCUGUGGUCACAAUGAAUGGACGAUAUGAUCUAAGCAUGCCCGAGUUAUUUUGUGAGGCAUGCCAAGCCACUUGGACUGCUGGAGUGGCCAACCUUAACAGCAGUGACUACUGGCCGGCAACUCUUCAGUUUGCCACAAUUUAUACUACCGAUAUAUUUUUCUCAUUUGAGGAAAUGAAGAUGGUGGCACCAGGACUGUCCUGUCAAGCAUUUUUAAGAAUGCUGGAUCAGCGAUCUGUUCGCUUUGGUCGUAUCUGAGGAACAGGCCAUCUUUGAAGGCAUCUUUAUAGCCAAAGAUGAAGAUGUUACAAGAUUUGUGGACAACAUUCACAGCACAACCAAACAUGUCAGGGGGAGAGGUGUUUGUGGAGGGGAGUGGUCAGCAGCCAGAGAGACCUCACAAAGAUCUGCCAGCAAGGUAGACGAAGAGGGAUUGGAGGUUGCGGUUUGUCGGCACGGAGUGCUUCUCUGUGCUUUAAAUAUGUACAGGGGUGAAAUUUUUGCCUAUCCCCUGUACCUUCAAGAAAAGUUGGCCAAUAGGCAAGUCACUUUUUUUUUGUAUGGAUGUGACCUGCAAAUAUUGGCCCUACCUGCAAAGAGUUACAAAAAGCUGCCCAGAGCUCCAGCACCUCCUUAACGUGAGACCAUUCCUUUCGGUAUUUCAUGCCAAAGCCCAUGAUUUUAAAUGUGAGGUAAGAAAAUGUUGCUAUGUGACAGAACCACAUUAUCUUAAACCAAACAUCUGCAAACAUCUUGUUCUUUGUUUAUUUAUGUUUUCUUACUCAGAUGAAAUGGAGUGGGUCGUAUCAGGAUGG